rnacentral:tRNA from 2 species
GGGGUUGUAGUUCAGCUGGUUAGAACGCCUGCCUGUCACGCAGGAGGUCGCGGGUUCGAGUCCCGUCAACCCCGCCA